rnacentral:tRNA from 2 species
CCCGCUUUCGUCUAGUGGUCAGGACACCGGGUUGUGGACCCGGGAACGCUCGGUUCGAUUCCGACAGGCGGGACCA